rnacentral:lncRNA from 1 species
UACAGAUACUAACUAUACUAUAAUGCAUAAAUAUGUAAAUUUAUAUCAUUCAUAAGAAAAAGACUUUUUUGUAAAUUGUACAUGUACUAAAAAAACUAUAAUGCAUAUAUAAUAUAUAUAUAUACAAGUCUUAAUUAAAAACUACAUUCAAACCUAUAAUUGCGUUGGAUAAAAACCGCAAUUUUCAUACGUGUGCAUGUAAAACAAAUUCAGUUGUAGAAGGGUCUAAAAACAGCACAAACAACAUUUUCCAAAAGACCAAAAAAGUGAAAAAGUAUAUAUAUCAUGAAUAUGUAAAAUUAAUAUCAUACAUGUUAAAAAAAGAUCUUGUGGACAAAAAUUGUAAAUAAUCUUGAAUAUUAUCUGCAAAGUUGCAAAAUAAAAUAAAAAACAAAUUCCUGAAAUGAGUAAAUUCCCUGGGUAUUUUCUUUUAACUCUUUGAACUAAUGGCUUACAAUAUUUCUACUUUUAGCUGUUGAAUUAAUUCAUUUUGAUUUUUUUUCAUAAUUUCAUUCAUAAGAAAUAGGAGAAAUAUCAUAAUUAUCUUUGGUGAGCAAUUUUUUCAAACUAUUGGUAAAAAUUCAAAGACAUUUAAUGAUAUUAUUUUUAUUGCCAGUAUCUGCUUUAGUUACUGAGACUGAGAUGCCAUUUAACAAGGGACCAUACUUGAUGAAUAAAAAAUGGUAUGCUUAAAUAUUGUUCUAAACAUCAUCAGAAAGAAGAAAAAAAUCUUCCAAACAUGACUGCUGUACGUAGUUCUGUAAAUGAUAUUUCUACAGUUAAAAAAAAUAAGAUCUUAAUUAAUUGAAAUGCUUGCCAAACCUCUGUUUUCAAUUCAACUGCCUCUGCUAAAAACAAUUCCAAUUUCCUGAUUUGUACAUCAUUUAAUGAGAUUUACACUCGGUUUGUACAUACAAUGAAAAAUGGGUGCCACAAAUGGAGCAGAAUUAGCUGCCCUUCUGGAGCACCUGAGAUCAUGCUCAGCUUUUGAUGUGCAUGAUGUGGUUUGUGUCUCAGUCUUGUUUGUUUUUGUGUUGUUUUUGUUUUUUUUU